UGGGGAAUAUUGCACAAUGGGCGCAAGCCUGAUGCAGCAACGCCGCGUGAACGAUGAAGGUCUUCGGAUCGUAAAGUUCUGUUGCAGGGGAAGAUAAUGACGGUACCCUGUGAGGAAGCCCCGGCUAACUACGUGCCAGCAGCCGCGGUAAUACGUAGGGGGCUAGCGUUAUCCGGAUUUACUGGGCGUAAAGGGUGCGUAGGUGGUCUUUCAAGUCGGUGGUUAAAGGCUACGGCUCAACCGUAGUUAGCCUCCGAAACUGGAAGACUUGAGUGCAAGAGAGGAAAGUGGAAUUCCCAGUGUAGCGGUGAAAUGCGUAGAUAUUGGGAGGAACACCAGUAGCGAAGGCGGCUUUCUGGACUGCAACUGACACUGAGGCACGAAAGCGUGGGUAGCAAACAGG
rnacentral:rRNA from 1 species